AUUGAACGCUGGCGGCAUGCCUUACACAUGCAAGUCGAACGGCAGCACGGGAGCAAUCCUGGUGGCGAGUGGCGAACGGGUGAGUAAUAUAUCGGAACGUGCCUAGUAGUGGGGGACAACCAUUCGAAAGAGUGGCUAAUACCGCAUACGCACUCUGGUGGAAAGUGGGGGAUCGCAAGACCUCACGCUAUUAGAGCGGCCGAUAUCAGAUUAGGUAGUUGGUGGGGUAAAGGCCUACCAAGCCUACGAUCUGUAGCUGGUCUGAGAGGACGACCAGCCACACUGAGACUGAGACACGGCCCAGACUCCUACGGGAGGCAGCAGUGGGGAAUUUUGGACAAUGGGCGCAAGCCUGAUCCAGCCAUGCCGCGUGUGGGAAGAAGGCCUUCGGGUUGUAAACCACUUUUGUCAGGGAAGAAACGGCUUCGGUUAAUACCUGGAGCUAAUGACGGUACCUGAAGAAUAAGCACCGGCUAACUACGUGCCAGCCGCCGCCGUAA
rnacentral:rRNA from 1 species